rnacentral:lncRNA from 1 species
UCAACAUUACAAAACAUAGAAAUGCUUUCUAAGGCAUUUUAAUUACCAAAUUCAACUAACUUAAUACAUAUGCUAUCCGAGAUUUAUUAUCAAGUUCAACUAACUUUAUCUAUUGAAACUGUCACGCCCCCAAACUGCGUGGGACGUGAUGACACUCAAUCUACCUUACCCGUCAAGCAAGCCUUAUUCUAACUAACUAAAAGUCGAUGUACAUAAUUUCCAAGAAAUUCAUAAAUAAGUCUUAAAAUAAUAAUUAUCUGAAAACUAAAAUCUAAUACUAAUAUUAACAUGUCUGACAACUGAACCCAUUAGAAAAGCCAUGAGCCUCUAACUGUAAGUCUGAAUACAUACGUCUACGGGGCAUUCCCCUAGAAUAAUAUGAAAGUCAAACAAUAAUUAAAGACUUAAAAAGGAUACCAACACUGCUCGGAGGAAACAACGAGCUUGCCAAUUGAGUCUACGGAGUAUGUCUCUAGCCAUGUAUCUUGUCACCUACAAUCUCAACACCUGCCACAUAACAUUGCAGGCCCAAACAGGCUAAGUACCACCAAAGGAUACCCAGUAAGUCUCAUAAGCUACCUCCUAAAAAGGCAGAACGAGACCUUCUGAAAAAAAUCAUAAUAUGAAAGGAAGUGAUUUCACAGAAUAUCAUAUCAACAAAAUCUAUAAACAGGAAAUGAGUUAAAACCUGAAACUAUAAGUUGAUAACUCCAAUUUCAUAUCCAACAAAAUCUAUAAACAUGAAAUGAGGUGAAAACUGAAACUAUAAGCUGAUAACCGAAAACAUGAAAACUGAGUCUAUAAUUGAUAAAUAAAACUUAAGGUGAAAACUAAGUAUUUUUAAUGAAAUAAUAUUUUUGAAAAAUUGUUACACAUAGUGGCCCUACGUACGUGAGAUCUAGCAACACGCACGGGGGAGUGUCGGCCAAUCUCCCCAGCAAACAAUAGCCCCUACGAGCAUGGGGUAGCUAACCUAGGCCUCAUGGCACUCACGCAUGGGGAGGUCCGGUAGCUCUCCCUUUCUGAAUGUGAUCACAUUAAUGCAUGAAUGAAUGCUAAACUAAAUGAAAAUAUCAUAACAAAGUCAACUAAUAAUUGAUAAUAUAUGUAAGCAUAUAAGACUGCCACAUUUUCAUACUACCGAAUAAGAAUAGAGUAAACUGAAUACUGAAGCACAAGGAGACAUAGCUUAGGAAUUUUAUCAAAUAUAUAUAGCACGUGGGUUCUAAUAGAAUUUCCUAUUAGGAGAUAAAGCUUUAAAACUUACCUUGAAUCCAAACUUAAAGAUCUGAUGCAAGAAUUUCAAUUCUAAACCACCGUAGUCCACCGCCAACAUUUGAUUGUUAAUAUGCCUCGACCUCGCGAUUUGUUUCUACCUAAUCCUUCGAGGAUUGCUGGGAUUUUCGUUGUUGACCUGUAAGCUAUCCAAAUAACUUUGUUUCCUUUGAAAAGUUGUAGUGGUGGAAUUUAAAUAACAAGCAUUAGCUAUUCUUCAAAUCCCAAUAAUUUUUCAUCUCAUUCCUACCAAAAGUGAAAGACAAUGAUGUAUAUGUCUUCCCCUAUGCUUUAUGUUUUGAGAAUAACUUACAGUAAAGCUAUUUUACUGCCCUUAUUUGGUAAUCCUUAAGUGGUUGCUAAAACCCUAUUUCUUUUCGUUUCAAUUUCGUGACCUGGCUGCUGCAUUUUCC